GGAAGUAAAAGUGUAACAAGGUUUCCGUAGGUGAACCUGCGGAAGGAUCAUUAAAGAGUAAGGGUCUUCGGGCCCGAUCUCCAACCCUUUGUUUAACUACCAUGUUGCUUUGGCGGGCCCGUCUCACGACCGCCGGAAGUUUGGCUUCGACCAAACUUUUGGCCCGUGCCCGUCAGUGGCCCCUUCAAAUUCUUGAUCAAGUAUGAUGUCUUAGUUAAAAACUUAAUAGUUAAAACUUUCAACAACGGAUCUCUUGGUUCUG
rnacentral:misc_RNA from 1 species